ACUCACCUGAGGAUGUGAGUCUUGGCAGGCCAGGCUUCUGGGGACAGGGGGCCCAAGGCACAGUAGACGGAAGCCAGCUGACUUUUCACUUGAACACUCAAGCACUCUCUGGGGAGGUGCCGGGCAGUGAGGGACUGAGGCCUCCUGCCAACAGCCAUAGAUGGAGUCUCGUUCUGUCACCCAGGCUGGAGUGCAGUGGCGCAAUCUCGGCUCGCUGCAAGCUCUGCCUCCCGGAUUCCCGCCAUUCUCCUGCCUCAGCCUCCCUAGUAGCUGGGACUACAGGCGCCCCCCACCAUGCCCGGCUAAUUUUUGAUAUUUUUAGUAGAGACAGGGUUUCACUGUGUUAGCCAGGAUGGUCUCGAUCUCCUGACCUCGUGAUCCACCUGCCUCGGCCUCCCAAAGUGCUGGGAUUACAUGUGUGAGCCACCACACCCGGCCCCAUUUUUAAUAC
rnacentral:lncRNA from 10 species